rnacentral:rRNA from 1 species
GACGAACGCUGGCGGCGUGCUUAACACAUGCAAGUCGAACGGAAAGGCCCUGCUUUUGUGGGGUGCUCGAGUGGCGAACGGGUGAGUAACACGUGAGUAACCUGCCCUUGACUUUGGGAUAACUUCAGGAAACUGGGGCUAAUACCGGAUAGGAGCUCCUGCUGCAUGGUGGGGGUUGGAAAGUUUCGGCGGUUGGGGAUGGACUCGCGGCUUAUCAGCUUGUUGGUGGGGUAGUGGCUUACCAAGGCUUUGACGGGUAGCCGGCCUGAGAGGGUACCGGCCACAUUGGGACUGAGAUACGGCCCAGACUCCUGCGGGAGGCAGCAGUGGGGAAUAUUGCACAAUGGGCGGAAGCCUGAUGCAGCAACGCCGCGUGCGGGAUGACGGCCUUCGGGUUGUAAACCGCUUUCGCCUGUGACGAAGCGUGAGUGACGGUAAUGGGUAAAGAAGCACCGGCUAACUACGUG